rnacentral:lncRNA from 1 species
AAAUGUGUGGUCAAUGCAUGAUCAUGACUUCACAUAAUUUCUUAUGUGGAUUGGAGAUGGCGCUAAACCUACGAAAUCAAAGAAUAUGGUUAAAGUAUCCAACAAAGUAGAAAUACCAUGGUAGGAAAGAAGUUAUAUACAUAAUAUUAUACAACAUACAUUUUCCCAAUUAGAAAACCAUGUCUGGGAUGCAUCGUAUAUGGUAUAAACAACCAUAAUACUCCAAAUAAUCUUGACAUGCAAAUAUUGAAUGACAUAAUUAUUGACCAGUUUCCUGGAGAAGAACAUAAUUUGUUGUCAUUUGACGAGGUUGAAGGUGACACAAAUAACUUAUAUCAACAAGAAUACUUGUCGCGCCAUUUUUCGGAUGUCAAGGCCACUUGAUUGACUUUGACUCACUUUUUUACUCACGACUGAACAAUUUUUUUUUUAGGGGAAAAAGUUCCAAACAACCCAUUUCGAAGAGAUUUAGGGUUCGGGGGUUGGUUAUAUUUAGGGAAGGUGUUAGCACCCUAAAUAUUCGUAGUACUCUACGAGAACCUCUUGAUUUUAUUUAACUUCUUGUGCUAUAACUUGCUUGCUUUUGAAAAGAUGAAAAUGGAAUUGGAUGAUGAGUUGAAAAGGAAAAGAAAAUUGACUUUAAUUGAAGAGAAAAAAGGAAAAUGUUUUUUAAUUGAUUUGGAAGGACAAGGUCCUCUGCCUACGUACCCGUGAGGGAUCAAAACCUCGUAGUUCGGGGUAGAAAUUGACGUUUGAUUGGUUGAGUGUUUUUUAUUAGAUUUUGAAAAAAGGUUUUGAAAAUAAAAAGCCAAGUGGCAAAUGAGAAUUGAUUUGUGUUUUUUUAGAUUGAAGAAAAUUGACUUGAAGUUGAAUUAGAAUUGAUUGGAAAUUUGAUUAAGAAAAAUAAAAUAAGAAGACGGUCACUUGAUUUAAGAUCAAGGUUUAUUGUGAAAAGUUCUUUUUAUGAAUUUUUGAUAUUUGAAUGUUUUUGUUGUUUUUGAAUAAAAAUAUGAACAUUAUAUAAGCAGAAUGAGAAAAAUGAAGUUAAGCUAAAUUGUGAAAUUAUUUUAACAUGGACCAGAAUAUUCUGGAGAGUAAUUAAGUUAAACAAAAAUAAAUAAAUAUUAACAUUUAAGUUUGGACCAGAGCACUCUGGAUUAACAAAAAUAUAAUAUUAAUAGUUACUUUAGGACCAGAGCACUCUGGAUUAAUUUAAUUAACAAUGACCAGAGCACUCUGGAGAAUAAUUAAAUUAAACAAAAAUAUAAUAUUAAUAGUUAAUAUAGGACCAGAACACUCUGGAUUAAUUUAAUUAACAAGGACCAGAUUGUUCUGGAGAAUAACUAAAUUGAACAAGAAUAUAAUAUUAACAUGUAAUUAGGACCAGAGCACUCUGGAUUAAUAGAGAGAAAAAUAAAAAUGCAUGAAAAAGAAAUUAAAAGUGCGGGGGACCAGAGCACUCUGGAUUAAUAGAGAGAAAAUUAAAAAAUGCAUGAAAAGGAAAUUAAAAAAAAUGAGAUGCUGGGGUUAAGCAAGGAAUAAAAGGGGGUGCAGGAAUUAGAAAAGAGAAUUGGGCUUUAAGAAAUCUGAACCGGGUCGGUUCUACGGGUCGGUCCAUGGGUUGAACCAGUGAACAUGUAUAUAAGGGUUGUGGGUCACAAAAAUUGCCAUUUUUCAUUGUUUUUCUCUCUCUUCUCUUAUUUCUAGAGAGAGAAGCUCUGCCUUCUCUCUAGAACUUCUUCAUCUUCUCCGAUGGAGAGAUGGUGGCCGGAGGCGGUUCCGGCGCGGUGGCCGGCGAGUUUUCGCGGCGGCGCCACCGCGCCGGAGUUAAAAAUGUCUCCUUUUUUUAUUUUUUUUCGUCCUCUCUCCUUCUUUUCUCUCCCUCUUUCCGAUUUUGCAUACAAAAAUUCCAAACAAAAGUUAAAACGUCCUAGAUCUAAAAGGAAAGAAAAUACUACUUUCUUUUCUUUUUGAACGGAUUUGUUUGUGACGGUUCGUUGUUUAUUGUUGUGAGAACAGUUUGUGUUCUUGUGACGUGUAUAUGGUGCGGUUUGGUUAUUAGAUCUGUGAGUUAGGGUUAUGAUUUAUGUUCUUUUGGUGUAUUUUCGGCCUGCUUGGGUUGGCUAGAAAACUGUUUUCUCUUUGUGUUUCUGCAAGUUGGAAGAUUGUUCUUUCCUUUUCGUGUGUGUGGGGCCGAGUCCCUUUGUUUCUUGUUUGUGUGUUGUAUUUAUAGAACUGGAUGGGAGACAUGGAACCUGUUAAAGGACAGACAGGAACUGCCUUGGCUUGGGAUUAAGGGGACAUGAAUGAGCUGGCCACAGCUGGGGAUUGGAACAAAAGAGAUCUAAUAUUUUCGGACAUAAAAAAAGAAAAUAAAGAAAAAUAGAAAGACUAAAAAAUAAAAAACUAAAUGAGUUAACUAAAUUAAAAGGAACUUAAAUAAAAGAUGGAAACUAAAAAUAAAUAAAAAAUGAAAAUUGAGAGAAGAGGGCCCGACUCGGAAUCAACUAUGAGGUAUUUUAAAAUACCUCCCUGCCGAAUUUUUGUUCGAAAGGCUGAGACCGGUCGUAACUAAAUGACAUGUGUCAGUGCUGUCUUAGGUCAAAAAUUGGAGUAUGACAGAUGCCCCUAUUUAAGUUUCUUCGUCCGGAGAUUUAAAAGGAAACCUUUAAAUUAACAGGUCGAAGAGACUUAAAUAUUAAGUACACCAAUUUUGACCGGUUGGAGUGCUAAGAAUGCAACGCUCAUGAGCAUAAUGAUAUGAAAGCAUGCGAUGCAAUUAUGAAUGCAACACCGACAAAAUUAGAAUGACUGAGGACCAAAAUGACAAGUAUCACUGGGGAGAAAGAAAAAACUGCAUAUUACCUUUAAAUUGGUAAAGACGACAUUACAAGAAAGUAAACACAUGUCCAUUAACUCUAGAAUUGGUAAAGAUGACAUCACAAGAAAGAUAAACAUAUGUUUAUUACCUUUAAAAUUGGUAAAGACGAAUCUGGAGGAAAUAAUCAUGCCUAUUACCGUGAAUUAGGUAAAGACGAAUAUGUAACAGAAACAAAUCCUGCCUAUUACCGUGAAUUAGGUAAAGACGAAUAUGCAAAAGAAAUCAUGCCUAAUACCGUGAAUUAGGUAAAGACGAAUAUGCAAGAAAGUAAAACAUGCCUAUUACCGUGAAUUAGGUAAAGACGAAUAUGCAAAGAAAGUAAAUCAUGUCUAUUACCGUGAAUUAGGUAAAGACGAAUAUGCAAAAGAAAUCAUGCCUAAUACCGUGAAUUAGGUAAAGACGAAUAUGCAAGAAAGUAAAACAUGCCUAUUACCGUGAAUUAGGUAAAGACGAAUAUGCAAAGAAAAGAUCAUGUCUAUUACCGUGAAUUAGGUAAAGACGAAUAUGCAAAAGAAAAUAAAACAUGCCUAUUACCGUGAAUUAGGUGAAGACGAAUAUGCGACAAAGUAAAUCAUGCCUAUUACCGUGAAUUAGGUAAAGACGAAUAUGCGAGACCUACCCCUUGAAGUUAACUAGUGGCAAACUUUGAACCAGACAUAUUGAGGAUGAUACUUUUAUAAGACACAAGAUAAAUAGGACAUUGGGUAAUAAUGCAACCAUGUAUGAAUGAUAUUUAUAUUCAUGCUAUGUAUGCAUGAAUGAACGAAUAUGACUGAGACUCGAAUGACGGUAUAGUGUUAAGACUGUUGAGACAAGGUUAGGUAGGUCCAAAAAAGAAGUGGCUCAACAUCACAGCACAAAUGCCCAUAAAUCCUCAACGGGAAUACCAUUACUAGAGAUGAGUCAGACAUUGUCGGGGUAGAACCCUUCAAACAAACCACAGGUGGGAUAAAGCCCAACGAUCUUAACACUGAUACAGUUUAGCUCAAAAAUCAAAACACUAGCCGAAGUCGCCAUUUCUGAACUGAAACUGAGGUGCUUUUGCAAGCUUAUGCUUCAAUUAGUCAUUGUUUUUCUUUUGGUAUUCUUUUCUUCUUUUUUUUUUCUUUUUUAGUAAUGACUAUGUCCAUACAGAUGAAUCUUCAUGCUUUUGAAUCGAAUGUUGACACAUGCUUCUAUGAUACAUGAAUUAGAGAUAAUAUAUUUGUCAUCAUUUUGUUCUUUUCCAAAAGAAAACAUAAAGAUUUUAAAAGAAUUUUCAAAGUUUUUACUUCAAGUUUUAACAGUAAAAAUGGAAGAAAAUUUGCACAUAGAAUAAAUAUGAAUUUCAAAUAAAGGGGCACAGGCUCGAGUUGAUUUAAAAGAAAUGGUAACCAGCUAAAGCAUGGCACCACAGAUUCAAAAUGUGGACAAUGGUAAUUAAUAUGGGGAAGGUACAUUGAACAUAAUAACCGCUACUUUCUCUAACAACUUUGAAUUCCACUGCCUAUAAUGCUUUGAUAUCGGAGAACUUCUGACAGCUAAAGUGCCCCAAGUGAGUGAUGUUUCAUCUGAUGCAGUUACUUUGUCAUAAUCCUUAACUUUUGCAUAGAUCGCCCUUGUGGGUUUCAACCUAUCAGGAUAAUCCUUUUUUUUUUAUAUGUCUCUAACUUUUGCAUGGACCGCCUUUUCGGGUUUUCAAUCCAUCGAGACGCUCUUUUUUGUUUAGGACGCCCUUUCGGGUUUUCGACCUACCGAGCUAUUCUUUUACAUAUAUAUCUAGACAAAGUAUUUCUUGACUGCAUCAGAAUUCACAGGACGAGGUAACUCCUCUCCAUCCAUAGUUGUAAGAAUUAAAGCACCACCAGAAAAAGCUCUUUUCACCACAUAGGGACCUUCAUAAUUAGGUGUCCACUUUCCCCUAGGGUCUGGUUGGAAAGACUUGAUACUCUUGACCACCAGGUCACCUUCUUUAAAUUCACGGGGUCGAACCUUUUUAUCGAACGCUUGUUUCAUCCUUGUCUGAUAUAGCUGUCCAUGACAUAAAGCAGCCAUGCGUUUUUCCUCAAUCAAAUUCAACUGAUCAUACCUAUUUUGACACCAUUCAGCCUCUGACAGCUCAACUUCCAUCAAGACCCUCAAUGACGGGAUUUCAACUUCUACCGGAAGUAUUGCUUCCGUCCCAUAUACCAAAGAAAAAGGGGUUGCCCCUGUUGAAGUACGCACUGAAGUACGAUAACCAUACAAAGCGUAGGGCAACAUCUCAUGCCAGUCUUUAUAGGUAACCACCAUCUUCUGCACGAUCUUCUUAAUAUUCUUGUUUGCAGCUUCGACCGCACCAUUCAUCUGAGGUCUAUAAGGAGAAGAGUUAUGAUGCUCGAUCUUGAAACCAUCACAUAAUUCCUUCAUCAUCUUAUUGUUCAAAUUCGUGCCAUUAUCCGUGAUGAUCUUGUUGGGAAUGCCAUAACGGCAUAUGAUAUUGUUCUUGAUAAAUCGGACUACUACUUGUUUGGUCACAUUGGCAUAAGAUGCCGCUUCGACCCAUUUGGUGAAGUAGUCAAUAGCCACUAGUAUGAAACGAUGUCCAUUGGAAGCUUUUGGUUCGAUUCGACCAAUCAUAUCAAUGCCCCACAUAGAGAACGGCCAUGGAGAAGAGAUAACAUUGAGCAUAGACGGUGGAACAUGAAUCUUAUCAGCAUAAAUCUGGCACUUGUGGCACUUCUUGGCAUAAUGAUGACAGUCAGCAUGCAUCGUUAUCCAGUAGUAGCCUGCUCUCAAUGCCUUCCUAGCCAUUGAAUAUCCACUAGAAUGAGUCCCGAACGAGCCUUCGUGUAUCUCAUGCAUUAAUAAAUCUGCUUCACGUCGGUCCACACAUCUGAGCAAAACUGAAUCAAAGUUUCUUUUGUACAAGACGUCUCCACUCAGGAAGAAAUUGCCAGACAGUCUUCUUAGAGUUCUCUUAUCUUUACGGGAUGCCCCAGGAGGGUACUCUUGAGUUUGAAGAAACACUUUAAUAUCAUGAAACCACGGCUAAUCAUCAAAAACUGCUUCGGCUACAAACACAUAAGCGGGCCUAUCAAGGAACUUGACACUGAUUAGAGGCACGUCGUUGCCUCGAUUCACCUUGAUCAUUGAAGAUAAAGUUGCUAGGGCAUCUGCCAUUCGAUUCUCAUCCCGAGGAAUGUGGUGCAACUCUACUUUGUUGAAGAAGGUCAAUAAACGUCUGGCAUAGUCUCUGUAAGGUAUCAUUCCAGCAUGGUGAGUUUCCCAUUUUCCUUUGAUCUGGUUAAUCACAAGAGCUGAAUCUCCAUAUAUUUCAAUAUUUUUAAUCCUCAAGUUAAUGGCUUCUUCAAUGCCCAUGAUGCAAGCUUCAUAUUCUGCAAUAUUAUUCGUGCAAUCAAACCGGAGUCUUGCAGUGAAAGGGAUGUGAGUACCUUUAGGAGUAAGGAUAACUGCCCCUAUUCCAUUACCAAAGACAUUGACGGCUCCAUCAAAAAUCAAACCCCACUUAGAGUCUGGAUCAGGACCUUCACCAAACAACGGUUCAUCACAAUCUUUCAUCUUUAAAUACAUGAUCUCUUCAUCUGGGAAAUCAAACUUGAUAGGCUGAUAGUCUUCAAUUGGUUGAUGAGCCAAAUGGUCAGCAAGAACACUACCCUUGAUGGCUUUCUGAGUGCGAUACACAAUAUCAUAUUCAGACAAUAACAUCUGCCAACGAGCAAUUCUUCCUGUUAACGCCGGCUUCUCAAAAAGGUACUUGAUCGGAUCCAUUUUGGAUAUCAACCAAGUAGUGUGGUAAACCAUGUAGUGACGGAGACGCUUAGCGGCCCAUGCCAAAGCGCAACAAGUUUUCUCAAGCAUAGAAUAUCGGGACUCACAAUCAGUAAACUUCUUACUCAAGUAGUAAAUGGCAUGCUCUUUCUUUCCAGUUUCGUCUUGUUGACCAAGCACGCAGCCCAUAGAAUCAUCCAACACAGUCAAGUACAUGAUCAAAGGCCUUCCUUCAACUGGAGGGACCAGAAUCGGAGGUUCUAACAAAUACCCUUUGAUGCUAUCAAAAGCUUUCUGGCAAUCUUCCGUCCAAACGAUCCCCUGAUCUUUACGGAGUAACUUGAAUAUCGGCCCACAUGUGGCAGUCAUAUGGGAGAUGAAUCUGGAGAUGUAGUUCAAUCUUCCCAAAAAGCCUCUAACUUGUUUCUCUGUCUUUGGAGCCGGCAUUUCCCUGAUAGCUUUGACUUUGUCGGGAUCUACUUCAAUACCUUUCUGACUGACAAUGAAACCCAAGAGCUUGCCAGAUCUAACACUGAAGGUACACUUGUUAGGAUUCAAUCGGAGUUUGUACUUUCUCAACCGUUGAAACAUUUUUAACAAAUACUCAGCAUGUUCUUCUUCAGUGCCUGACUUGACAAUCAUAUCAUCCACAUAUACUUCAAUCUCUUUAUGUAUCAUAUCAUGGAAUAUUUUAGUCAUGCCUCUCUGGUAAGUGGCGCCAGCAUUUAUCAAUCCAAAUGGCAUUACUAAGUAGCAGAAAGCGCCCCAUGGCGUGAUGAAAGACGUCUUUUCUCUAUCUUCCGGAGCCAUCUUGAUCUGGUUAUACCCGGAAAACUCAUCCAUGAAGGAGAACACCUUGCAUCUAGCAGUACUAUCAACCAAUACAUCAAUGUGAGGUAAAGGGAAAUCAUCCUUCGGACUAGCUUUGUUCAAAUCCCGAUAGUCAACACAACAUUCUGACCUUACCAUCUUUCUUCGGAACGGGCACUAUGUUGGCCAACCAUUGAGGAUAUUCAGAGGUAAUCAAGAAACCUGCGUCAAUUUGCUUUCGCACUUCCUCUUUGAUCUUGAGAGCCAUAUCUGGAUGAGAUCUUCUUAACUUCUGCUUGACUGGAGGACACUCGGGCUUUAGAGGCAAACGAUGUUCAACAACAUUAGGGUCUAACCCCGGCAUGUCUUUGUAGGACCACGCAAAUAUAUCAUCAUACUCUCUGAGAAGCUCAAUUAUCCUAUUCUUGACAGAUGCCUCUAAUGACGUUCCAAUCUUAAUCUCUUUCUUAUCUUCCUCAGUACCCAGGUUGAUCGAUUCUAUUUCUUCCUUAUGAGGCUGAAUGGCUUUUCUUUCUUGUUCUAACAUCCAUCUGAGCUCAUUAGGAAUCUCUUCAUCCUCCUCUACCCAAGCCUCAUAAACAGGGAACUCCCAGUUGGGCGGAAGCAUAGGGUCACUACGUUCAACGGGCUCACUUAUGCUUAGUCUGCAUAUGAUUCAUGAUUGAUUUUUAGCAAAAAUAGUGGAUGCAGACCUUUGAAAUUGAUUUUUUUUUUUUUUUUGUUUUUUUUUUUUUUAAAGAGAAAAAAAAAAGAACAAGUUUUUGAUUUUUUGUAUUACCAUUUUUAGAAAAAGCACUAAAAUAAAAUAACGGUCGUGAUAGAAACGACAAUUUUUAUUAAUACUGAAAACAACUUAAAGUAAAAACAAACCCUGCAAGAUUUCACUUUCGUCUGGGGUAGGAUGAAAGGAGUUUUCUUAAAAAACAAAAACAAAGACAAACACAUUACUUAGAAAAAGGUAUCGCAGAAGGGAUGUCAACAGCAAUCCAGUUGCAGCAAUUUCCAUCAGGAGUCACAAAGUCAGGUGCCACCUCUUCUGAUUGAUCUUCCAAAAUUGCAUUAGUCUCAGGUGGUGUAUUAAUGAAUCCGGCACUGUGAAAAGUGCCCCUAGUUGGGUCGAACACCACUUGCUUAUUGCCAGAGAAACCCAAACCUUCUUUGCGCUUGUUCUCGGGCAACUGUACUAAUUGCCCCCAGCCUUCCGCUUUUCCUUCUUGGAUUACUCUCUGAGCAUCCCUUAGAGAGGCCAUGCAUGUUUCACCUUUUGUAGUACCACUUUCAACCGAGAACCCUUGGAAUGACGUUCCAUCCAGACUUUCACCACCAAUGAAGGAAAAGGACGACAAAUGGCUAACCAAAAGAGCUGAUUCCCCACUCACUGUAACAAGCUUUCCAUGACUCACAAACUUUAGCUUUUGGUGAAGAGUGGAUGUUACUGCCCCUGCUUCAUGAAUCCAUGGUCUACCUAGUAAACAGCUGUAGGAAGCUUGAAUAUCCAUUAUCUGGAAUGUAACUUUAAACUCUUGGGGCCCAAUAGUGAUAGGUAAAUCUAUUUCUCCCCACACCGUCUUCCUGGAUCCAUCAAAUGCCCUUACCGACACGCAACUGGGCCUAAUAAAUCCGUCUGAAUACGUCAAUUUAUCAAAGGUUGUCUUCGCCAUCACAUUGAGGGAAGAACCAGUGUCUAUCAAGACAUUGGACAGAGAAUCUGUUUUGCACGUAACAGAGAUAUGUAAGGCCAUGUUAUGAUUUUUCCCCUCCACCGGGAGGUCUUCCUCACUGAAACUCAGGUUGUUGCAUGCCGUCACAUUUCCAACAAUGCUCCCAAAUUGAUCCAAAGUCACAUCAUGGUCUACGUAGGCUUGAUUCAAUACUUUCAUCAAGGCUUCCCUAUGAGCAUCAGAACUUGUCAAUAGUGACAUGAUAGAAAUCUUGGAUGGAGUCUGUAAUAACUGAUCCACUAUCUUAUAAUCACUUUUCUUGAUCAGUUUCAAAAUUUCAUCGUUAUCAGUUCCACUAGGUUGACCCACACUUUUACCCUUGCUAGGAUCUGGUAUUGGUACUGAUUGUAUCACUGGAGCUUUGUUCUUUGCUUGUACAACAGCCGGAAGAAUACGUCCACUUCUCAGAAUUUGACUACUCUCAGCAAUGUUAUCUACUGAAGUUGAAGGACCCAAAAGUACCCCUUUACCAUCCUUUAUGCCUGUAGAUUCGUAGCUAUAUGGAAUAGCCUUCUGGGAGAAAAACAGCUUGGGUUUUGGCACACAAAUUGCCAAAGGAUCGACAAUUGUCUUGGCAUUGUCUUUGAAUAUCGGAGUAACAACACCAAUUGGUUUCGUCCUAUCCUUAAACACAGGAAUUACAACACAAAUGUUCUUAUCUUCUCUUGUGACAACCAGCUCUCCUUGAUCCAUUAACCCUUGUACAUCAUUUUGAACUUGAAUGCACCCGUGGGGAUCCGCAGAACAUACCUCACAAUUGAUAUGAUCGUGGCUAAACAUACCUACGUUACACAUCUUCACAUGCAUUGGAACCAACGGGGUUCUGACAUCUUGAGCGUUGGUGACGAGAUCAUCUUCCUGAUAAUUCUCAAUCAUGUUAACGGUCGGCCCAUGAGGUGGCAGAGGGUUGUUUGGAGCAACAGGGUCAGGGUCAGUGAAUGAUAAGUCCUUACUGUGAAUCAAUCUUUGGACUGCGUCUUUGAGAGGGUAACAGUGCUCAAUGUCGUGCCCUGGUGCCCCUUGAUGGAAUUCACAAGUAAGGUCUGGGCGAUACCAAUGAGGUAAAGGGUUCGGUACCGGGGGACGUGGUUUAAUCUGAACAAGACCCCUAGCGAGUAGGGAGGGUAACAAGUCUCUAUACAUCAUGGGGAUAGGAGGGAAUUGAUUUCUUGGAGGGCGAGGCUGACGAGGCUGUUGUUGUUGUUGUGGUGGAGGAUAAGGUUGUUGAUAAAAUGGUCGUGGCUGAUAAGGUUGUGAUUGAUAUAGUGGUGGAUAAUAAGGCGGGGGUGCUUGAGGCCUUCGUGGUUGAUAGUUUGGGUUUUGUGGAGCUGGGAUGGGUAAUGGAAUAUUAGCAAUGUAGGGGUAGUUGGGGUAUACAGGUUGGGAUCCACCAUGAGCCACCAUGCCGACCUCUGGAGCGUUCUUCUUUGGGUACCCAUUUCCGAACCUCCUAUUACCAUUAGAUGAUCCACCUGUCAAACUUCCUGAAUAACCACCUGAAGAGGCACCAUCUUUACUACCCCGUCCCUUACGGACCCAUUCUUCAAUACGAACACCCGCGUCUACCAUGUCGGUAAAUUUCUGUGAAGCACAAAGAAGCAUCUUCUCUGAGUAGAAAGGGCUCAGAGUCUCAUAGAACAGAUCAGCCACUUCUCUUUCUUCCAAAGGCGGACGAAUUUGAGCAGAUUUCUGAAUGAAGCGCUGGGCAUACUCUUUGAAAGAUUCCUUAUCACCCUGAGUCAUAGCUUGCAGCUCUUUCCGGUUAGGGGCCAGAUAAGAGUUAUAUUUAUACUGCUGGAUGAAGGCAUUAGCCAAUUCCUCAAAAGUAGUGAUACCCUUCAAAUUCAUAUACCAUGUGAGUGCGGGACCAGCCAAACUGUCCUGAAAACAGUAGAUGAGUAGAGGUUCAUUCUUCCUAUGAGCCGUCAUCCUCCUAACAUACAUGAUUAAGUGAAUUUCAGGGCAAGUAUUCCCCGUGUACUUCUCAAAGGUCGGCACUUUAAACUUAGGAGGUAUAACCACAUCCGCAACCAAGCAGAGGUCAUUCAAAUUAUGGCUAAACACUUCCUUACCCCGGAUACUCUUCAACUCUUUAUGUACCGCAUCGUACUUUUCUUCUAAGUUACCCACUCUAUCAUCACCAGCCACACUAUUGGAAUGGUACACUUGUUCCUCCUCUUGCUGAGCAGCAUGCACGAGGGGUCCGGCAUAAGUCAUAGUAGCCUGAGGAAAAGGCUGGCCGGUCUGGUAGAACGGUGUUUGUUGCUGGCCAAGAGGGAACUGCAUUUCCGGCGCAUUAUGACGAAAACCUUCAUUAGUUGCGAGUGGCAUGCCCCACGGGUAGCCUGGCGGCAUACAGUACUGAGGAGGGAAAGAGAAACCGGAAGGUCCAACGGGAUGGAAGCCUGAAUUGUACAUGUCAGUCACCAAAGGUUGUGUAGUACCAACAGCUGCGGUGGAACCAGUAGGAAUUGGUUGUGAAGUAUCAGCAGAAGUAGUAGGAAUUGGCUGGAUUGCAGGAGAACCAGCAGACUGAGAAGCUUCAACAUGUGCCUGAGUGGUCUGAGCAUUUUGCGCUUGAGAGGCUUGUGCCUGUGCGGCCAUCAUGUCAAUCAUCAUUGCGGUUAUUUUCUCCAUACCUUCCUUGAGGUUACCAACCUCCUCCCUAAGGUCACUGUUCUCUUGUUCAGCAGUUGCCAUCUUCUUCUUGAUGUAUGCUCGAGUACGGUGAACACGGGUAGGUUUGUACUGAAUACGCCGGGCCACUUUGCUUUUUUCUGAGACAGAAAUGAGGAGAGUAUGAGACUUGGUUUUGACACUUUUUAUGAAUAUGAUGCAUGAUAUGCUAUAUGCCAAAAUAUGCAAUUUUUAUAUAUCUUUUUAUCGAAGGACCUAUAGAAGCAAUUUUAUAAACAUAUGACCCUAAACAAAACAUUAAAACAGACAUAGUCAUUACAAGAUAAUUCCCUUUCUAACAACAAAGCCAAGGGAUAAACUUUCAAAAUAAAACAAGAUAAUUCCCUUUAAACAAAGUGAGUCAAGGGAUAGACUCCAUAAUUCCCCAGUGAAGUCGCCAUUUCUGUCGCGCCAUUUUUCGGAUGUCAAGGCCACUUGAUUGACUUUGACUCACUUUUUUACUCACGACUGAACAAAUUUUUUUUUAGGGGAAAAAGUUCCAAACAACCCAUUUCGAAGAGAUUUAGGGUUCGGGGGUUGGUUAUAUUUAGGGAAGGUGUUAGCACCCUAAAUAUUCGUAGUACUCUACGAGAACCUCUUGAUUUUAUUUAACUUCUUGUGCUAUAACUUGCUUGCUUUUGAAAAGAUGAAAAUGGAAUUGGAUGAUGAGUUGAAAAGGAAAAGAAAAUUGACUUUAAUUGAAGAGAAAAAAGGAAAAUGUUUUUUAAUUGAUUUGGAAGGACAAGGUCCUCUGCCUACGUACCCGUGAGGGAACAAAACCUCGUAGUUCGGGGUAGAAAUUGACGUUUGAUUGGUUGAGUGUUUUUUAUUAGAUUUUGAAAAAAGGUUUUGAAAAUAAAAAGCCAAGUGGCAAAUGAGAAUUGAUUUGUGUUUUUUUAGAUUGAAGAAAAUUGACUUGAAGUUGAAUUAGAAUUGAUUGGAAAUUUGAUUAAGAAAAAUAAAAUAAGAAGACGGUCACUUGAUUUAAGAUCAAGGUUUAUUGUGAAAAGUUCUUUUUAUGAAUUUUUGAUAUUUGAAUGUUUUUGUUGUUUUUGAAUAAAAAUAUGAACAUUAUAUAAGCAGAAUGAGAAAAAUGAAGUUAAGCUAAAUUGUGAAAUUAUUUUAACAUGGACCAGAAUAUUCUGGAGAGUAAUUAAGUUAAACAAAAAUAAAUAAAUAUUAACAUUUAAGUUUGGACCAGAGCACUCUGGAUUAACAAAAAUAUAAUAUUAAUAGUUACUUUAGGACCAGAGCACUCUGGAUUAAUUUAAUUAACAAUGACCAGAGCACUCUGGAGAAUAAUUAAAUUAAACAAAAAUAUAAUAUUAAUAGUUAAUAUAGGACCAGAACACUCUGGAUUAAUUUAAUUAACAAGGACCAGAUUGUUCUGGAGAAUAACUAAAUUGAACAAGAAUAUAAUAUUAACAUGUAAUUAGGACCAGAGCACUCUGGAUUAAUAGAGAGAAAAAUAAAAAUGCAUGAAAAAGAAAUUAAAAGUGCGGGGGACCAGAGCACUCUGGAUUAAUAGAGAGAAAAUUAAAAAAUGCAUGAAAAGGAAAUUAAAAAAAAUGAGAUGCUGGGGUUAAGCAAGGAAUAAAAGGGGGUGCAGGAAAUAGAAAAGAGAAUUGGGCUUUAAGAAAUCUGAACCGGGUCGGUUCUACGGGUCGGUCCAUGGGUUGAACCAGUGAACAUGUAUAUAAGGGUUGUGGGUCACAAAAAUUGCCAUUUUUCAUUGUUUUUCUCUCUCUUCUCUUAUUUCUAGAGAGAGAAGCUCUGCCUUCUCUCUAGAACUUCUUCAUCUUCUCCGAUGGAGAGAUGGUGGCCGGAGGCGGUUCCGGCGCGGUGGCCGGCGAGUUUUCGCGGCGGCGCCACCGCGCCGGAGUUAAAAAUGUCUCCUUUUUUUAUUUUUUUUCGUCCUCUCUCCUUCUUUUCUCUCCCUCUUUCCGAUUUUGCAUACAAAAAUUCCAAACAAAAGUUAAAACGUCCUAGAUCUAAAAGGAAAGAAAAUACUACUUUCUUUUCUUUUUGAACGGAUUUGUUUGUGACGGUUCGUUGUUUAUUGUUGUGAGAACAGUUUGUGUUCUUGUGACGUGUAUAUGGUGCGGUUUGGUUAUUAGAUCUGUGAGUUAGGGUUAUGAUUUAUGUUCUUUUGGUGUAUUUUCGGCCUGCUUGGGUUGGCUAGAAAACUGUUUUCUCUUUGUGUUUCUGCAAGUUGGAAGAUUGUUCUUUCCUUUUCGUGUGUGUGGGGCCGAGUCCCUUUGUUUCUUGUUUGUGUGUUGUAUUUAUAGAACUGGAUGGGAGACAUGGAACCUGUUAAAGGACAGACAGGAACUGCCUUGGCUUGGGAUUAAGGGGACAUGAAUGAGCUGGCCACAGCUGGGGAUUGGAACAAAAGAGAUCUAAUAUUUUCGGACAUAAAAAAAGAAAAUAAAGAAAAAUAGAAAGACUAAAAAAUAAAAAACUAAAUGAGUUAACUAAAUUAAAAGGAACUUAAAUAAAAGAUGGAAACUAAAAAUAAAUAAAAAAUGAAAAUUGAGAGAAGAGGGCCCGACUCGGAAUCAACUAUGAGGUAUUUUAAAAUACCUCCCUGCCGAAUUUUUGUUCGAAAGGCUGAGACCGGUCGUAACUAAAUGACAUGUGUCAGUGCUGUCUUAGGUCAAAAAUUGGAGUAUGACAAUACUUAAACACAAUUGUAACUGAAAGUUUAUUGCCACAUAUUUUAAAGAUUAAAAAUGGUACUCCAUUGAUGUUGUUGCGAAAUAGACACCCGAAAUAUGGUUUAUGAAUUGGAACAAGGUUUCAAUGUCAUGGUUUUUUUAAAAAUUUAUUGGACGUCGAAUACUAACAGGCAACAACACUUAAAAAGAGCUUUAGUUGCCCAUAAUUAAGUUUAAAACCACUAAAGGUGCAAGGCUUUCUUUUGUGCUAAGUAGCAAAAAUUUAUUGUCAAACUAUGUUUUGAAAUCACUAUAAGCAAAUAACAAGGGAAAACUAUUCCAAAGUUGGAAUUUUUCUCCCAUGACAUAUUUUGAGCCAUGGUCAGUUGUAUAUUGCUUUAUCAAUAGGUGUUUCUCAAUCCACAACAAGAGUGUUGAUUAAGGAUGGAAGACUAUAAGGGGAAGACGGAGAUAGGAAUACCAUGAUAUGUAGAGUGUUUCGUUGGGUACUCUAACCACACAAAAGUAUUUAUCUGGAACUCACAUACACAUUUACAUCAUCAUAAAUACAAAUUACUAAGCUGAUUACACCUUUUUCAGUUUAACAAUAAAUAUUAUUGUCUUAUUUUACAUUCAUAUACAAGAAAAUUAGAACAAAGUGAUAACUUACAGCUCUGCAAGCUGUUGAAAAGAAAGCAUCUUAAUGCAUACUUUGAUUAAAAAAAAAAAAGGUAUGUUACACUUACAUAUUUAAUUUAAAUUUUACUUGUUAACAACUAUAAUAAUUUUGUCCAAAAAAAAAAAAAACUAUAAUAAUAAUCAAUAUCAUGUUUCAAAACUUUCAAAAAAUAAAGGAGGGGGAGUUUUAGAAAAAAUGGAACAUAUGGAAGGAUGAGCAUACACUUUCUUCUAUGUGCAACAUUGAUGACAAGGUAGCUGAUUUAGUAUCAAGAACCCUAAUUUCCAAUGACGUACAACAUCAUUACCAUUUCACUAAUACUUGUUUUUUUUUUAAACAACAAAUUCAUCGUCUGGAUGUUUACUCGCUUGGAUGGGGUUCAAGAAUAAUAAUAGAUAAAACACAAUUGUGGAAUAUUGUGAAAAGGAAAAUAUUGGCUCAAAUCCCUAAAAAAAUAAAAUAUUGAUUCAAAGAAAAAAUAGGUAUUUGUUGCAUUAGUUUAGAAAAAUCAUAUGUACUAAAUAUAAUAUGUGUCCCUUAUUCAUCUUUGAGACAUGAUCACUAGUUACUCUCAUUUGUAAAAUAAAAAUAAAUUGUGUUAACUAUAUUAUUUAUCUUAGGAAUAUGCACACUCCAAUAACAAUAGACGACUAUCAAGCUACGACGUCUAAGUGAAAGCAAGAUACCUCUCUUGAUCAGGAUUUUAUGUUUUAUGUCUUAAGCUUUGUACAUUGUCUUGCAUAUAUUAUAUUUGCAUAUGACAUUCUAUAAUUAAUUUUUAGUUUUUCGAAAGACAAGGAAUCAGUGAUUAAGAUAGGUAUGAAGAAUUAGCUGCAAUUUUUAAACGGUAAUUAACUAUAUUAUUUUAAAUGAUAUUUUAUAGCUUUUUUUUUUUUUUAUACAAUUUAGUUUUUUCGAUUAACAACUAAUAAAACUCAUAAAAUAAAAUGCGGGAAAAUAAGAAUUUUUUUUGGUUCUGAUUACAUGUUUUGCAUUCCCACAAGCACCACCAAUGAUGACAAAAAUACAAUACUAAUAUUAACAUUUUAAGUUGUUGAAUAUUAUUUGAAAUAGAGUUUUUCUCUAAUCUCUGUUUAUAUUAUCAAUGUUUAAAUUAGUAAUUGUACUAACCCAAUAACUGAAAUUAAGUUAUACAAAGAAGAAACAUAGAGUAUAUAUAUGUUAGCACAAUACUCAAACAAAAAAGGAUGGAAAGAAGGGAAACAAUAUAUCUCUAUUCAUCAAAUUUUUAGUUCUUAUAUUUAUAUAUGACAUAUUAUAUAUUAAUUUAUAUAAAGAAACAUAAUCAAAUAUAUACAUAUUUUAGCGCAGUAGAAAAAGCAGAUAGACGAGCACGUAGACGCUAGUAGCAAAUUAUGGGAAAUUAAAUUUUUACCAUUUGUAAAAGAAUGCAUGGGCUGUGAUAGUAAUUACGAAACUUCAUCUCACUAGUGUCGUGUACGAACUUACUACUAUCUAGAAUUAUGUAAAAGAAUUUUUUUUGGAACUGUUUCGGUAAAGAAAGUUAUCUUAUAAAAUGGCUACACGAAACAAAAGUUUUGGAUUUAUUAUUAGUUAGAGAUUAGAGAUGAUAGAUAUAGAUUAGAUCGGUAUAAUCAUCUACGACAUUCAUGUACUCACCAAUGCUGAGCUUUAUUCUCAUAUUGUUGCCAAAUUAGAGAAUCAAUAAAAAAAUGAUUAGAAAUAAAGCCCAAAAUGAAUCAAUAAUAAUAAUAAUAAUAAGAAUGAAGUGAUGUAAAUGUAAAUGACAAACCUCUUGUUGAAACUGCAAAGUUUGAGUGAGAGACUGAGACUAUUAAUUGACAAUUGAUAUGUGAUGUUGUUAGUACCUGCGUGCAGCGGUGAAGUUAGAGUAAAUGUGACGAGUGAGUCGACUACUAGAAAAAUCAAAAUUAGUGAAGGAAAUUAUGAAAUUUCUCACAAAUUCCUUGGUCGCAAAAUUUAGUGACGGAAUUAGAGAGGGAUUUCAUGUUUUCCCUCACUAAAUAUCCCUCACUAAUUUUUGUUUUUUUAGUAGUCAAGGGAUAAUUUUCUACUAUUGUGAAUGCUCUAAACAAUUAUAUUUCUUUAUAGCUAUUGAAGAGAAUAUUUUUUUGAAAGAAUAACUAUUGAAGAGAUUGAAAGUAUUAAAAUAAAACGAAUAAAUUUAUCGAUCAAGGGAUAAUUUGCUAACUUUUUUUAUUUUCUUACUUUUUGGUAAAUAGAUUUGUUUGAGGUAAUAUAUUAUUGGGGUAUCUUAAAAUAAAAUGUAUUAAAAUCAUUCAAGAUAAAUAAUAUUUGUUUGAGGUUCUGCUUGCGUGGUAACUGCAAGGGAAAAUAUUGUUAGAUUAAUAUAAGUUAUUCGUCAUUUUUUAUCUAUUAAUUAAGGAUUAAGGAUGAUCUAAGUUACUUACCACCAUAAUCUGCUAACUAAGGAUGUUCUUUAUCAAUUGGAGACUAAAAGAAGGAAAAAAGAAAGGAAAGAAAAAACAAAGAAAUGAGAGUACGUUUAUGAAGUAAACAAAAAGAUAAAAUAAAAAUGUCGGAUAGAAACUAUCCAUUGUUGUAGACUAGUUUGUUUAAGAACAACAUACACAUUCUCGUGAACUUAGAACAGUUAGCAGGAACAUUAGCGGGGGUCAGGAUUUAAAACCCAACUUACACUUAUACAAUAAUGAUCCUAUUUUCAAUGGUUUAAAUUAGACAUUAUUCGUGAUUAAAACUAAAAAAUAACAAAAUAUUUCAGAAUAAAACGAAAAAAAUUAACCAAUCUAUUUAUGUAUCUCUAUAUGAUGGAAAUUGUUUUCAGCAAUCCAGUUGCUUUGUUGGUGUAUGUUAAUUACUUAUAGAUUAAAAUAUGGACAAUAAUAAGAAGAAAAAAUAGAAUAAAGACAUCUAAUUACUAUUGUAAGAAGUAAGGAAUGAUUUACCGUAAGUGAGCAACGUCAUUCCAUGAACAAAGUUUCUAUUUGAGCGUGUAAUGAAUUAAUGGAGAAAUUAAAAAUAGGGAAAUGCUUUUUCUCCCGAGAGAAUGUCAAGCGAAUCGACCACGACAAUAGCUGGUUAGUUUUGAUUGGUAGUUUAUUCCUUGAUUUUCUUUUUUUCAGCAAACACCUCUUUGUAUUCAGCCAAACUGCAAACUGUGAUUGAUUAGUUUUGAUUUGGGAAGCUUUUGCUAUGUUUUCUUUCCCACUAUAUGGCAUCGCUCUUAACAAUAUAUCAAUGGAAAGAGUAGCUAUUAAUGGAAAAUUGGUAAAUUAAUAGUUAUAUAUAUAUAUGUAGCAAUUGUGUGUUUGUGAAAAGUAAGUAACCGUAACUAAAGUUAUUCAACGUGUGUGUGGUGAGCAGUUAACAAUGUGGAAAUUAAAACUGAAAAAAAAAAACUAAAAAAAGUGGAAAACAAAACUGCAUAGGGCAUUUUCAUAUUAGAAAAAAAACUAUACCAAAACAAAAGUUGUGUCUUUAUUAUUAGUUAGAUCUUAGAGGAUAAUAGUUAUAGAUUAAAGUAAUGCUAACAACUUAUCCUAGGAGCAUAUCCCAGUUCGUUGGAUAAUGCAUUAUUAUAUGCAGGGGUCGGGGUUCGAAACUCGGACAUCCAACUUAUUCACCUUAUAAGGUGAAUUCUUGCCACUAGACUAGCUGACAACAAAAAAAGUAAUACUAACAACACUCUCUUUUGACCACACAAUAAGAGGGUGAGUAUAAUAGAGAAUGUUGAAAAGUGAGUGUUGUUAGCAUUCCUCUUCAGUCAUUUUUAUAAGUGAAAACUAACUAACUUUAAAAUUUGAGUUUUAUUUAUAGAUAGCAUUGACCAGGUGUAGUUAUGAAUAACAACAAAAAAAUAAAGGUGAGGCCUAGGUUGCCUUUGAAAACUCAUGGGCAAUUUACCUAAACCAAUCAAAAGUUUCCAUGUGUACUCCAUUAGAAUAAUAACAUUUAUUAUUUUAUUUUGCAAAAAUUUAGCAAGUAUUUUAUUAUUUGCAUAUUCACCCUAUCUUAAAUUAAUGAUUUUUUACAAUUUAAACCAUCACAAUAAUUAAAUUUCACCUCUAAUUCAAUCACUCUCCAAACCUCUUUUUUAGCUUGGCAAAAAUCAUUAAAAAUUAAAAUUAUCACCCCUGGGAAUCAAACCUGGGUGCUCCCACCUAUUUAAAAUGUACUCUGGAACCACUUGAUCAAUACAUUUUUUAUGAAAUAAUUUGGAAUUCAAAAUUAUGUUAUUAGUGAGCAAAUUAUUUUAUUUUUAUUUGCAGUGCCUUUAUAACCUAGCUUUAGUGAAAAAAAAAAUCAUUUUAUGUGUGUAUAAUUAUGAAGUAGUAAAUUUUUCUUAAGAAAAAUGAAUUCAUUCAAUUGAUUUUUUAUAUUUUAAAUUUCAUUCUUUUUUAUAAAUUCAUACUUUUAUAUAGAUUCGAUGACCUACGACAAUGUUUCAUUUGUGAUCCACCGAAUUAUGAUUUAUUUUAGGUACUAUUUUUCAUUUGGAUCAGAUAAAUUGUUUAAAGGUAAUAAUUUUUUUUUUGCAAGGUCUUAUAAGUUAUAACCUAGCUUUAGUAAAAAAAAUCAUUUUAUAUGUGUAUAUUUAUGAAAUAGUAAAUCUUUCUUAAAAAAAAUGAAUUCAUUCAAUUGAGUUUUUAUAUUUUAAAUAUCAUUCUUUUAUAUAAAUUUAUAAUUUUAUAUAGAUUCGAUGAACUACAACAUUGUUUCAUUUGUGAUCAAACGAAUUAUGAUUUAUUUUAGGUACUAUCUUUCAUUUUGAUCAGAUAAAUUGUUCAAAGGUAUUAAUUUAUUUUUUUUUUGCAGUGUCUUAUAAGUUAUAACCCAGCUUUAGUAUAAAAAAAAUAAAUCAUUUUAUAUGUGUAUAUUUAUGAAAUAGUAAAUAUUUCUUAAAAAAAAAAAAAUGAAUUCAUUCAAUUGAUUUUUUUUAUAUUUUAAAUAUCAUCCUUUUAUAUAAAUUCAUACUUUUAUAUAGAUUCGAUGACUGAUGGGAUAAAACCGCAAGUGCACGGUUCUACCAGAAUUCAGGGCAUUACAAACGCAACAUGUGGCAUAAAAAUAUUACUUUAUAUGUAUAUACUAUUGAUUUUACUGUUCAUUUAAAAUAUUUUAUUUGCUUAAUUGCACUUUUGGACCCCUAUCUUUUCAAAAGUUGCGGUUAUGGAUCCCUAACUAAUUUAAAUACAAAACAGUCCCCUAUGUUUUGAUUCUUUAGCAGUUUUGGACCCCCAAGGCAAAAAAAAAAAAAAAAAUUGACAAGUGGCACCUCACUUAGGGUGCCAUGUCAGCGUUGACCGAGUCAACAAUGAAUUGGGGUCCAAAAUUGGCAAAAAAUCAGAACAUAGGGGGUUGUUUUGUAUUUAAAUUAGUUAGGGGUCCAUAACCGCAACUUUUGGAAAGAUAGGGGUCUAAAAGUGCAAUUAAGCCUAUUUUAUUUACUAUUUUAUCCUUUAAUAAUAUUAUAUUAAAUUUGAAUUAGAAAAAUGAAAUCUCAUUAAAAUAGGAAAUAUACCACUACAACAGGAACAAUACUAUAUAUACUUUUUUUUUUUUUUUUUUACAAAAUACUAUACAUACUAUAUAUGAAGGGAAUAGAGACUUUGGGCUGAAUUUUUUAUAAUUUCAAUUAUACCCUUUAAACAAAUUUUCCUAUAUUAAUGUUACAUUUUUGGUGGUAUUAAAAAAAGAUAAGAAUUUAUAUUAUAUUUGUUAAACUACUGUGUUGUUGUGGUAAAAAAUAAACAUGAUUUUUUUGGGUUUGUUACAAUUUUAAUUUCACAAAUAUUUGUACUUAUAAUUUUAAUCAAAAUCAAAAUUUCAUAUAAAAUACCGUUCAUAAUUUACACAUGUCACGUGCCCGUUUUUUCGCUAGUUAUAUAUAGUAUUUAUACUAUAUAUAAAGAAAACUAUCUCUUUCAGCACUUUUGGGCAGGAUUUUUCUUUCCAAAAAUACCCUUAAUUUUUAAUACAAACAACACAUGUAACAAAUAAAUAAGAAUAAAUUUAAAUAUUAAAACAAAUGUAACAAACACGAUAUGUGUGUUUGGUUUUUUUCCUUUAUCAUUUAAAAAGUGUAACAAACUAUAUGAGUAUAUUUAAUAUUUGCUUUUUUUAUUAUCCCAAUUAUACCAUUAAAACAAAAUCCAUAAUCAUCAAUCAACAACAAGAAGAUCCAACAUUUUAAAAAAUAAAUAGAUAAAUUUAAAGGAAUUUUUUUAAGAUUCUUAUGUUGUUACAUAAUAUUUGGACAAGAUUCUAAUUCUCAUUAAUCUUUUCUCCCACGUCAAGAAUAUCUCUUUGCUUCUUCUGAUUCAUAUUCAUUCAUUCCUUAUUAUUCUAAUUUUUAACUCAAUUCAUCUUCCUAUAGAUUUGCAUCGUUUUUGCUGAACCAAGAAGGACUGUUAAGUAGAAGAAUUCCAGAAUCAUAGAUGUAAUCACAAUAGUUCUCAAUGACAAUGCUUAAAAAAAAAUUGAUUUUUUUCCCAAUCUAUCUCUCUCAAUCCCGAUCUACUCUCUAUCCCCUUAAACCCUUUUUUCCUAAACUAUUCCUUACCUCUCAUGCUCUCUCUUCUCCAUCGGAUACCAUUUCCCAUUCUAUCAUCUUCAUUGCAUUCUCCUCUUUCUCUUUCAUUUUUGACUUCUCAAUAAAAAAUCAAUCCCAGCUUCAAUUUUUUAUUGUCGAAUUCGAAUUCGAAUUUGGGGUGCGUGGGUUCGAUUGAGAGAGAGAGGGAUCGAGAUGAUGGAUAUAUAGACAACGGUGUUGAUGGUGGUUUUGAAAAAGAGGUUUUGAUGGUGGUUAUCUGGAUUUUCUCUGGAUUUUUUUUUAUGAAGGUGAUGAAUGAGGGAAAGAAAGAAGAUGAAGUAUGGGAUAUAAUGCUAGAUGUUGUUGGUUCACAGUAAGAUACAGUGGACAUGCAUGAUCUAACAAUCUUUCUUUAUUAAAAAAGAUCAAACGGUUUAUAUUAAAAAAAAUAAUAGGAUCUAUAGUGGACCAGGGGGUUCACCAUAGAUAUUUGAGGUUAAAGUUAAUUUAUUUGCAAACUGUGGGAAAAGUGAAGGACUAAAACGUGAGUUUUAUUAAUUGUGAGACCAAAAUAAAACCAAAGAAUUAAAUAAGCCUUUUUUUUUACUAAAGCUAAGUUAUAACUUAUAAGACAUUGCAAAAAAAAAAUUAAUACCUUUAAACAAUUUAUCUGAUCCAAAUGAAAAAUAUUAUCUAAAAUAAAUCAUAAUUUGGUUGAUCACAAAUGAAACAUUGUUGUAGUUCAUCGAAUCUAUAUAAAAGUAUGAAUUUAUAUAAAAGAAAGAUAUUUACAAUAUAAAAAAUCAAUUGAAUGAAUUUAUUAUUAUUUUUUAAGAAAGAUUUACUAUUUCAUAAAUAUACACACAUAAAAUGAUUAUUAUUAUUUUUACUAAAGCUAAAUUAUAAGUCACUGCAAAAAAAAAUAAAAAAUUGCUCACUAAUAACAUAUUUUUGCAUUCCAAUUUAAUUCAUAAAAAAUGUAUUGGUCAAGUGGUUUGGGAAACCAUUUCAAAUAAGUGGGUGUGUUUAAGUUCGAUUCCCACGAGUGAUAAUUUUAAUUUUUAAUGAUUUUUGCCAAAUUGUCCAUGAGUUUUUAAAGGUAAUUUAGAAAAAACCAAAAAUAAAUUAUAGGAAAACCUGUUCCCGCUCGUGUAUUCCUAAGGUAACGGUUACAACUUCCAAGUCUCUUGUACUUGUGCACUCUUGCUACAAUCUUAAAAUUCUUUUCAAAUCUUUUUCAUGGAUUCUCUUCUACUUCCAGGUAAUAUCAAAUCUAACUUUUUUUUUUUUUUUCCUGUUAUGAUCAAUCCAAUUAAUAUAAUCAUCCCUUUUCAUUCCUAAGAGUUUAUUUUAAUUAUAUGUUAACAGAAAAAACCAACGACGAUUCCAAACCAAAAAUGAAACAAAAGCGCAACAAGGCAACCAAAAUGGGCAUGGGUAGAGAAACACAGACUCAAUUCAGGUAACUAACAUAUUUUAUAAUUCAUCAAUUCCACCAUGCUUAUAGAUUAUAAUAAAGAUUCGUGACUCCGACAACAAUAUAAAAGUUUUUUAUGUUGUCAAAAUUGAAGUAACAUCGGCCUUAUUUGAUUACGAUAUAUUCUCCACAAUAUAAAAGAUUGUGAUGCCACUGUUAUUUAAAUUAUUCAAGUUGUUAGUAGUAUGUAAUCCAGACAACAUUCUUACAAUCGGCACAUUGGUGGCCUUGAAUCGAGAUAGAGCGGUUCAAAUUUCAAAAUCAGCAUUUUAGUUCUUAAAAAAUAAAAACAAAAAAAAAUUUGAACCCUUCGAUUUUGAUCCUAUUUGCAAAAUGUGUAAAUGUAGAGGAUUGACGACCAGAGGCAAUCUGAAUUCUAUUUAAAAUCAUGAAUUCCUUUACAUUGUUAUUUGAUUUUUUUCUCAAUUUCCAUUCUCUAUUUUUGUUUCAGACAAAACCGAGCUUUCGGUACCCCUUGGAACACAAACGAUAACAUUCCGAAAAAGCCCAUUUCGGACAACAUUACCACCAAACCAAAACCUGCAGUUCCACAUAAACAACCCAAACAACCAAUUCCAGCAACACAAGUUCCCACUGAAAUCACCACUUUAACACAACCUAAUGAUAAAAAAUCACCAGAAAAUGUCAAGCCCAUAAAGAACAAGAAGAGUGACACAUUCCCACAAAAGUUGGCAGAAAAAGCAAUGUUAAAGGAAAGUGAUUCUGCAGAGGAGCCUAAAACUCCAGCAACAACUUCUCAUGGUAGAGGCAAGAGUAAAGUGCAAGCUACACCGUUUUACAGCGCAGUAAAUUGUAGCAAAUGUCGUUUUGAUAAGCUUGAGACUUCAUCUUAUUGGAUUGGACAAAUCAAAUUGGCAGAGUCUGUUGGGAAACACUUUGUUGCCUCUGGAUUCUUCAAGCUUGCUUUGAAAUCUCAGGCUGAGGUUUGUGUUUCUUUAUCACAAAGUUUAUUUGUGUUUGAAUUUAGAGAAAUUUUCAAUAUUGUGAUGACUGAAUACCACAAAACUUAACUAUUCAAAGUUAGAUAUGUCAUGAACAUGUGUUUAUAAACAGGAAAUAAUAUUUGUGACCUUACAAGUUGAUUUUGUGCGGUUUGAGUUGGAACAAACUCAAAUUCUUAGACGGUAUAAGAGUUAGCUUCAAAAUUUGUUGGACUACCUCCUAUCCGGUUACCGUUGUUGAGCCACUCGAGGUCACACUACAUAUAUUUAAUUUUAGGUGUGAAGGAAGGUAUAUUAUGAGUUCCAUACGCAUUAAUUAUUAAUAUUUUAGUAAAGAUUAAUUAAUGCAAUUCAAAAUUUAAGAGAGUCGUGCAUAAAGUACAAGAAAUUUCUCUAGAUCUGACAUGUAAAUAUGGAGGUUGUAAUUUAGGGCUUACGAUUAUUAUUUGAGGACACAAGCUAGCAUCAAACAAGUGCUUAUAACUUUGGUGCUAACUUCUCUGAAAAACUACUUUGGUGCUAACAAGUUUUGGCUAGUUGGUUCGUGACUUGAGUUAUGUAUACGAUUUUUUUUUUUUUUUGUUGGUGGUCGGGGUUUGAACCCCAGACCUUACAUAUAUUAUGCAUUGUUCCUACCAACUAAGCUAAACUCACGAGGACAGUUAUGUAUACAAUUAAAAAAUAUGAUUAGUUUUAAUAACUUUUUUUUUGUGAUGUUUGAUUUGAUAUUUGGUGUGUUGGUUAGUCUAUUAGGAACCUUCGGAUUGAGCUUAAAAGGUAUUUGUCAAGGCAUGGGCACCUCUCCGACCACAUGAAUCAUGAUUCAUGAUGUAUUACAUGCAGGAAAAAUGAAAGUGAAAUGAGUAUAAUUAAUCUGUACUUGAAAAUAACAAAUACACAUAUAUUCAAAACUCUUACGCAUUCGGUUAUUGUACUCUUGCUUAUGCAUUUCAAUCUUAUAUAAUUUUGUGGUUUAAUCUCUCUUUAAUGGUGUGAUUGGUUUCAAUCUUAUAUAAUCUACAUUCUUCCAUUCUGAAACUCUGGCAAUGGUUCAGAGUUGGAUAUGGAUCUGUGAGAUUCGUUUUUGUUUCUAUCACCAUGGUUUUUACGCUCAUAUUUCUGCAGUAGAGAUAAACUCAAUUUCUUCUUCUCCUUCUUCAGUUUCAUUUUGGUUGUCUUUAACAUAUUUCUAUUGCAAAUUCUCUCUGAUAGUUUUUGUAAUGAUGCUUUAAGAGCAAGAGAGGCUUGAGUUUGCUGUGUAUUACUAGUGGUUGUGAGAGUAGAGUAAUAUUGUUGGGUGGAAGGGAAAUAAGUCACGGGAGGGUUUCGAGAUCUCAAUAAAAGAACCAAUUGUUAGAGAAGUAGAACUACUUUACUGAAAAUAAAAGAAACAAAGCAGUAAAACAGUAAAUAAUAAAGAAAGAAAAAUUAACUAAAGAAAAUAAAAUAACAUUUGGAUUCAUUUCAUUCCUUUAGAUGGUUUGUCAAAGACACUACAUAUAGGAUUGCUAUUGGAUAAUAAGAAGAUUGUCGUUGACACUUCUACUUUGGGCUGAAAAACACAAGUGAAAGACGAAAAUGUCUGUUGGCAAUUAACUGUCGCCGAUUAAAACACAUAAGUAAUAUUAUCAUGGCUCACGUUCUUUAUCAACUAAGUGGGAAAAGCAUGUGGAACUAUAGUCCCACAUAGCUCCAAUGUAGAUUCGCCCAUGCAGUGGAGCAAAUUAAGGUGGUUUCUUAGUAUGAAUAGGUUGAAAAUUCAUAUUUGUUUAUUCUAUGACUGGUGUUGGAAUCCAAUGGAUAGUUUAACUAGAUCAUUUUUUGAUAGGGGUUGUGUUUUGGGUGUGAUAGGCGAACCGUGUUUGGUUAGGGCUUGUUAUGGGUGUCACUUUUGUUUUGCGGAACUUAGGCUUUGUUUGUGAGUUUGGAGGGGAGAGGAAGGGAAGGCUUUGAGAGGUGGAAAAUAUGAGGGAAAAUUGAGAAAUAUGAUUUAAAUUUUUUAAACGAGUAGUUUUUUAGAGAAGGGUUUAGUAUUAUGAAGAAAAGUUAACCCCCAAAACUCUCCCCUCCCAUUUUUCUCUAUUUUUGCCACUGCUCAUUCCUUUUUUCCCUCCAGCUUGUUGAUAAUAAUAUAUGUUGAUUAAAAAAAACAGGAAUUGUUAGUAGUCUGCAAAUCAAAGAUCAAUACUAAAUGCAGAUACUUUAGUGUGAUAAUACCCUACCAUUAACCUUGAAUACAAAUUAAUCAGCUCUUACGUUCCGUAUAUUGCCAAUGAAUCUAAUAACUUUCUCAAAAAUAAAAUAGAAUAACAACUUAAACACAAAUACAGGAAUAUCCCAAAUCAGGACCCAUUUUGCAAAGUCUUGCUAACCUCAAAAUUUCCCUGUUAUAAUAAGAAACAAGUUUAUUUAUUUAUUUCUUAAUUAUAUCAUAAUAUUUGUACGAAGUUUUCACUGCAUGUUAGCAGUGAUUAAUCUCCGUCGAGGAACUUAUUAGACACACAAGAUAGAUUUUUCUUUCCAUCUAGAUUUUAUUCCAUACGCAUGAGCCAAAAAUUAUAUUGAACCCCUAAUCAGAUACUUAAGGGGUUUAAAUCUUUUACUACUUAAACCAAUUCAUUCCUGGUAACUAGUUUAAUUUAUAUUAAAUGAGAACUGAUAACAGAAUCAUUAAAAGAAGUGCGAAGAUAAAACAUGCAUUCCCAUCCAUAGUUAAUAUGGUUACACCAUAGUUAAUAGAAUUUGCCAUCUUAUAAAAUAAAUUGUAAAUACAUUUGUUUUAAAUCCUCUUAUAAAAAGAAAUUGUAAAUACAUUUGUUUUAAUUCAAAAAUCAUAUUUUAAAAUUUGAGGGUAUCAAAUACAAUUUCCACAUUGAUUAUGCUAUAAUUGUAAUAUAAAUUUUUGUUAACAAAAAAGAUCGUCCUAUCUUGUUUUUUAUUUAUAAUAAAAGUUGUCACAUCUUUGAUUUGUAAUAUAUACCAAUAUUUGUUUUUAUCAUUCAUUAUAUUUGUUGUCUUUUGGGAUUUUAUUUAUUAAAAAAAGGUUAAAAUAUAAAUAAAAACCUUUAAUGAACUUUCAUGAUCUUCAAAGAUUUUUGUUUGAUAUGUUUUUUAAGGUUAAGUAAUCAAUUGAGUGAUGUAAAAGAUGAACACGAUAUAUUAAUUAAAAACAUUUAAUAUUAAUUUCAAUUUUAUAAAUGACUUUUUUUUAAAAGAAAUUUUAAAUGACUUCUUGUAACUCCUAAAUGCUAAAUAAAAUUUAAUUGAAGCUAUUUCAGAACAUUAAAUUUUUAGUUAUAAAAGGGAUCAAACUUUUGUUUAUUUAUAACAUGCAAAGGAUGGAACAUAUGACUAAAAUUCAAUUUUGUGUUUAUGUUUUGAUCAUAUUUCUGUCUUUAUUUCUUGUUGUAACUUGUGGUAUGUCACUUUUACACCAUUUCAUAUUAACAAAAUUUUAUCAUUUUUAGUAACAUUCUCUUUGCUCAUCUGACAUUGCAGGUAAAGUUUACGAAUGUUAUAAUUACAUUGAUUGUCCAGUUGGUUGUCGCGCCUGUUAUAUGAGGUGCAUUGAUGGCCAGUGUAUUCCGUUUAUUAAAAAACUUAUAUUAUUUCAUUUGUACGUCAUAGUAGAGUAAGUAUUUGUAUUUUUAUAUAAUUUACCUCAAAGUUUGAUUUAUAAUUCUCAUUUUUUUUUAAGGUUAAAUAUGUUUUUAGUACUUAUAAAUGUGUCAACUUUUUGUUUUAGUUUCUCUAAAAUUUUCCUUCAACUUUUAGUCCCUAUAAAAUUUUCAAUCUUUACUUUUGGUCUCUCUUUUAAAGUAAACUCAUACGUAUAGAAUUCAUAUUUUUUAAUAAAAGUAUUCAGAAAAAUUCAUAAUAUUAUAAGAAUCACUCCAAAAAUAAAUUAGAAUUGUUUAACCAAACAUGAAUUUAAUAUGAAUUUUAAUAUUUUUGAAGGUUAAAAAUUCAUAUUUAAUUUGUGUUUUGUUAAAAAAUUCUAUUUUUUUUUAGAAAUUUUUUUUUGAAUAUUUUACACAUUUCUGCACAAUUUCAUUAAAAAAAUACAAAAAUUAAAUUAAAAAUAGGGACCAAAAGUAAUGAUUGAAAAUUUUAUAGGGACUAAAAGUUGAAGGAAAAAGUUUUGAGGGACUAAAACGAAAUAUUGACAUAUUUAUAGGGACAAAAAACAUAUUUAACCUUUUUUUUAUAUGCAUAAUGAUUUAUGUUUCUCUCGUAUUCUUGUAUAAUUAUAACUACUUUAAUAAAAAAAAAAUGAUUAUGAAGAUUAAUUAUUUAUUCUACUUCUAUGCUUGAUAUUCCUCUCACUCAAAUGACAUGUCACGAAAAACCUAUGAAAUUUUACUUUGCCACUUACAACCACCAAACGAUGAAGAUCAAAACGAGGUAUUCAGCGAACGCAAACAUUAAAUCAUAAAAGCGACGAGAUGUUUUUACAGUGACCAAAGCGAUGAUGAUGGAUUUCUCAAGUUAGGUCGUAGGGUACUGAUUUUAAAUUGUGUUAGUGUUGGUGUUGGGCUUUAGUGUUGUAGGUAUUGUGAAAGAAGAUUACACUACUUAAAAAACAAAAAUUAGUGAGGGAUAUUUAGUGAGGGAAAACAUGAAAUUCCUCUCUAAUUCCGGCACUAAAUUUUGCGACCAAGGAAUUUAUGAGGAAUUUCAUUUUUUCCGUCACUAAUUUCCCUCGCUAAUUUUGCUUUUUCUAGUAGUGGUUAAUGAUCGUGAUCUCUAAAAACAUCAAGUUGCUUCUGUAUAUGUUUACAUCUUUUGUCCUUGUUCUACAGUGACAAAAAUCCCUAAUUUGUUCAAAACUAAUAUUCUUAAUUAAAUUUUAGAUAUAAAAAUUAAAGUUCAUUUUUAAAAUACUCCAUAGAGUAAUAGCACCUACAUAGAGAAAAGAUGAUAUUAAAGUCACGACUCAAUUCUUAAUCGAAACUAAUCAAACAGAAAAAGAGCCAAGUUUGUGAUGUGAAAAUUGGUGAAGCCAUAGGUCUAAUUUAUAGUAAUUUUUAGAGGGUAAUUUGGUAAACUAAAUGGAUCUAAUUUGGCAUGAGAGUAAUUGCACGCGGUCGUUUUUAAUUUUCGGUUACAUAUAUUCUCUAACAUAAGUCUUACUAUUUUUUCUGUCCUUUUUAAUCAGUUUUAUUUCAUCAAUUUGCUAUUUUUUCGGUUGACUACUAUAUGCAUCCCUUACAUAUGGUCUUUCCUUUUUCUUUUUUCUUUGAGGGGAAGGUUUUUCCUUAUUAUUAAGGAAAAUCAAAUCAUAUUGUGUUUAAUUGUUUUAAUGCCACCUUGAAUAAAUUAUCUUUGACAUAAUUACAACCAAAUCAAUUGUUUCACAUCAUUUGUAAAAAAAUAAUUUGUCCAACAUCAUGAUUAUUAUUAAACUGGUGCUAGUCACACCCCAAAAAAAACAAGUUACACCCGAAUUUAUUUAAAAUUUUACAAUAAUACCAAAAUUGCCCUCUUCAUGUAAAUUUUUAAAAAUCCAUCUUUUAUGAUCAUUCUGAACCCUUAUCCCCUUUCAUCCACAAAUCACCAUAGAUGUGCAACCAAUAUCUGAAUCAACAUCUUUGUUAUUGAUCUGUACUAUAUUCAUAAAGGUUAGUGAAUUUCAUGAAUUUUAUUUUCGAUGAGUUUCUAUUUGUUUAUUGUUUGUUUUGGUAUGAGAUAUGUUCAAUUUAGGUUAGUGUAAAUUAAGUUUACUUAUGUUCAAUUUAGGUUAAUGUAAAUUUAGUUUACUUAUGUCAAUGUAAAUUAAGUUUACUUAUGUUCAAUUUAGGUUAAUGUAAAUUUAGUUUACUUAUGUUUAAUCUAGGUUAAUGUAAAUUUAGUUUACUUACGUUCAAUUUAGGUUAGUGUAAAUUCAGUUUACAUGUAUAUAAGAGGUUAGUGUAAAUUCAGUUUACUUACGUUCAAUCUAGGUUAAUGUAAAUUAAGUUUACUUAUGUUCAAUCUAGGUUAAUGUAAAUUUAGUUUACUUAUGUUCAAUCUAGUUAAUGUAAAUUUAGUUUACUUAUGUUCAAUCUAGGUUAAUGUAAAUUUAGUUUACUUAUGUUCAAUUUAGGUUAAUGUAAAUUCAGUUUACUUACUUUCAAUGUUAAUGUAAAUUAAGUUUACUUAUAUUCAAUUUAGAUUAAUGUAAAUUAAGUUUACUUAUGUUCAAUUUAGGGGUAUAUUAGUCAUUCUGGGGUGUAACUUGUUUUUUUUGGGGUGUGACUAGCACCAGUCUUAUUAUUAUUAUAAAAAUAAAAAUUAAGAAAUGUAUAACAUGAUUUUUGUUUUGUUUUGAAUAAACACUAUUAUACGGUAUUAUUAUUAUACAAUAUACAUUUGAAAAUAGAAGCAAAAGUAUAUUACCUUAAAAAAAACAUAUUAAUUCAAAUUAUAUAAAAAAUUAAUGGUUAUUACCAUAUCUA